rnacentral:rRNA from 1 species
UCGGGAUAACACCUGGAAACAGAUGCUAAUACCGGAUAACAACAGAUGAUGCCUAUCAACUGUUUAAAAGAUGGUUCUGCUAUCACUCUUGGAUGGACCUGCGGUGCAUUAGCUAGUUGGUAGGGUAACGGCCUACCAAGGCGAUGAUGCAUAGCCGAGUUGAGAGACUGAUCGGCCACAUUGGGACUGAGACACGGCCCAAACUCCUACGGGAGGCAGCAG